AGCAGCCGCGGUAAUUCCAGCUCCAAUAGCGUAUAUUAAAGUUGCUGCAGUUAAAAAGCUCGUAGUUGAAUUUCGGGACCGAUAUAUCGGUCGUGCCUCGGUACGUACUGGUAUUUUCGGUUUCUCCCUUCUGACGAACCUUGAUGUCAUUAAUUUGGUGUCUUGGGGAAUCAGGACUGUUACUUUGAAAAAUUAGAGUGUUUAAAGCAGGCUCACGCUUGAAUACAUUAGCAUGGAAUAAUGAAAUAGGACGCUUGAUUCUAUUUUGUUGGUUUCUAGGAUCGACGUAAUGAUUAAUAGGGAUAGUUGGGGGCAUUAGUAUUCAAUUGUCAGAGGUGAAAUUCUUGGAUUUAUUGAAGACUAACUACUGCGAAAGCAUUUGCCAAGGAUGUUUUCAUUAAUCAAGAACGAAAGUUAGGGGAUCGGAGACGAUCAGAUACCGUCGUAGUCUUAACCAUAAACUAUGCCGACUAGGGAUCGUAUGAUGUUAAUUUUUAAUGACUCAUUCGGCGCCUUACGG
rnacentral:rRNA from 1 species